ACAUACGACCAUAGACUCAAGAGAAUUGGGCAUCCCGUCCGCUCUGCCAUACACAAGCUUGAGAUCGGUGGAUUAGUAGUUGGGUGGGUGACCACCAGCGAAUACCCACUGUUGUAUGUG
rfam:Pseudogymnoascus pannorum VKM F-103 contig_583, whole genome shotgun sequence.